AUCCUUUUGCAGUGGCAGUAUCGUAGCCUAUGAGGUUUAUCCGAGGUGCGAUUAUUGCUAGUUGAAAACUUUACCCAAUUCCUGCCUUGAUGACUUGAAACAUAGUCAGCAGUGGCAAUUUUUGAUGGUCUCUGAGGAGA
ensembl:snRNA U4 U4 spliceosomal RNA